CUUCUCCCACCUGGCCGAGCUGGCCAGGGGCUCCGAUGGGUGGUCGAUCUCUGUUUUCUCAGGAGGGCAAAUUGAAAGGUAUGGCCCACAUGCAGGGACGGGACCCCGCUUUAUUUCCUGGUCCCUUUCGCCUACGUGAAAGCACUCGCGUGGAGAUCGAAGAGCAGACGCCCCCUGUGGAAUCUUAGCGAUCUUUCUUAUCAAAGACCGGGCUGGCCACCCAGCCAGCCACGGGAUACGGCGUGCUCGACCCUUGUGGGUUCCCUCAUCCACCCAGCAAGCCCUUUGGAGCCUACGGCUGAGCCGGCUCCAGCCGCGCGCAGCGUCCGUCAUUUCGGAAAGAAAGCGACGUGGCUCUACGUUUCAAAUGCUGAACUUCCCACGUGGGUGGCAGUGGCCAGCCUCCCGGGUCCUCGGUGGGUUUCCAUGGUCUUUGAGGUGAUGAUGAAUGAUGACGCAGCGGGUGUGCCAGGGAGACCUUGAGUCAGGGGCCUCGGGACAAGGCAUUUCUAUGCCAUGCUCGUGGGCGAUGUGAGCGUAAUGCCUCUGGUGUUCCACGUGGCCAGACAGACGUGGAACGUGAAAUCCUAAGAGCGCUUGCAAGGAGAGGUUCCAUUCGGCAAAUUGUGUUUCCCCUUGUACUCUGCAGAUCGUGCUGUACGCGAUCGCGGGGGCGUUCGCCGGCGGAGUGGGGAAGUGCUGGUCUGUCCACGUGCGGUGGCCCGCCUACGCGGGCGGGACCACCAGAAGUCACUCCCGAGGAAGACGCGGCCAGGAUCUGGAUUUCGCGCGGGCGAGUUCACUCUUGUCCCUGGAGACCUGACGAGAAGGAAGGCCGUGCCGGAGGUCAUUCUUCCAUCCCGUCCCCUCGGGCCUGCUGCGGGCAUUCCGGUAUCGGACGCAGUGGAGUGAGACCUGGGCUCCUUUCCGGGGGAUGAAUUUCUCCUCUCCCCUGUGUGCCGAUGUCAGGGAAGCCUACGGGGGAGCAGUUCCGGCCGCCAUCCCCAGAGUCCCGUGGGAAUCCCCUCCUACGAUCGUGCUGUACGCGAUCGCGGGGGCGUUCGCCGGCGGAGUGGGGAAGUGCUGGUCUGUCCACGUGCGGUGGCCCGCCUACGCGGGCGGGACCACCAGAAGUCACUCCCCAGGAAGACGCGGCCAGGAUCUGGAUUUCGCGCGGGCGAGUUCACUCUUGUCCCUGGAGACCUGACGAGAAGGAAGGCCGUGCCGGAGGUCAUUCUUCCAUCCCGUCCCCUCGGGCCUGCUGCGGGCAUUCCGGUAUCGAUUGUGUUGCGAUGGAAGGAAUGGCAGCGGUCUCUAGGGAAGAGCUCAGCACAGUGGCAUCCCUGGAAAUGUGAAGAGCUCCCAUACCCGUGAGGCACGGGAUCCUGUGGGUUGUGUCGGCAAG
ensembl:lincRNA